rnacentral:rRNA from 1 species
CCUACGGGAGGCAGCAGUGAGGAAUAUUGGUCAAUGGCCGGGAGGCUGAACCAGCCAAGUCGCGUGAGGGAAGACGGCCCUACGGGUUGUAAACCUCUUUUGUCAGGGAGCAAGGUGCAGGUCGGGACCUGCUGUGAGAGUACCCGAAGAAAAAGCAUCGGCUAACUCCGUGCAAGCAGCCGCGGUAAUCCGGGGGCUGCGAGAGUUAUCCGGAUUUGUGGGGGUUCAAGGGUGCGCAGGCGGAGGCACAAGUCAGUGGUAAAAUCGCGGGGCUCAACCCCGCCCCGCCGUUGAAACUGUGUCCCUUGAGUGCGCGAAGGGUAGGCGGAAUGCGUGGUGUAGCGGUGAAAUGCAUAGAUAUCACGCAGAACUCCGAUCGCGAAGGCAGCCUACCGGCGCGCAACUGACGCUGAUGCACGAAGGCGUGGGUAUCGAACAGGAUUAGAUACCCCAGUAGUC